GAUGAACGCUGGCGGCGUGCCUAAUACAUGCAAGUCGAGCGAACGGACGAGAAGCUUGCUUCUCUGAUGUUAGCGGCGGACGGGUGAGUAACACAUGGAUAACCUACCUAUAAGACUGGGAUAACUUCGGGAAACCGGAGCUAAUACCGGAUGAUAUUUUGAACCGCAUGGUUCAAAAGUGAAAGACGGUCUUGCUGUCACUUAUAGAUGGAUCCGCGCUGCAUUAGCUAGUUGGUAAGGUAACGGCUUACCAAGGCAACGAUGCAUAGCCGACCUGAGAGGGUGAUCGGCCACACUGGAACUGAGACACGGUCCAGACUCCUACGGGAGGCAGCAGUAGGGAAUCUUCCGCAAUGGGCGAAAGCCUGACGGAGCAACGCCGCGUGAGUGAUGAAGGUCUUCGGAUCGUAAAACCCUGUUAUUAGGGAAGAACAUAUGUGUAAGUAACUGUGCACAUCUUGACGGUACCUAAUCAGAAAGCCACGGCUAACUACGUG
rnacentral:rRNA from 1 species